AUUGAACGCUGGCGGCAGGCCUAACACAUGCAAGUCGAACGAGUGGCGGACGGGUGAGUAAUGUCUGGGACACUGCCCGAUGGAGGGGGAUAACUACUGGAAACGGUAGCUAAUAACGCAUACCAUCGGAUGUGCCCAGAUGGGAUUAGCUAGUAGGUGGGGUAACGGCUCACCUUGGCGACUAUCCCUCGAUGGUCUGAGAGGAUGACCAGCCACACUGGAACUUAGACAGUGUCCAGACUCCUACGGGAGGCAGCAGUGGGGAAUAUUGCAAAAUGGGCGAACUCCUGAUGCAGACAUGCGGCGUGUAUGAAGAAGGCCUUCGGGUUGUAAAGUACUUUCAGCGAGGAGGCGUUACUCGCAGAAGAAGCACCGGCUAACUCCGUGCCAGCGGCCGCGGUAAUAC
rnacentral:rRNA from 1 species